GCACUUACCCAGGAGGGGGUAGCCAGUGACCAAGGAGAUGGUUUUCCUAGGGCGAGGCUCCAUCAUUAUACUUGGGGUUUGCUGACCCCUGUGGCCACCCUGAAUUCAGGACCUUACACUUAGUGGUAGAGAGGGACUGCAUUUGUGUUCUUCCCUG